rnacentral:rRNA from 1 species
GAUUAUGGCUCAGGACGAACGCUGGCGGCGUGCCUAACACAUGCAAGUCGAGCGGGGACAUACGACGGAUCGGAAGUUUCGGAUGGAAGAGAAGAUGUAUGUUCUAGCGGCGGACGGGUGAGUAACGCGUGAGCAACCUGUCCUUCACAGGGGGAUAACACAGCGAAAGUUGUACUAAUACCGCAUGAGACCACACUGGGACAUCCCAGAGGGGUCAAAGGAGCAAUCCGGUGAAGGGUGGGCUCGCGUCCGAUUAGAUAGCUGGUGAGGUAACGGCCCACCAAGUCGACGAUCGGUAGCCGACCUGAGAGGGUGAUCGGCCACAUUGGGACUGAAGACACGGCCCAAACUCCUACGGGAGGCAGCAGGUGGGGAAUAUUGGGCAAAGUGGGGGAAACCCUGACCCAGCAACGCCGCGGUGGGGGAAGAAGGUUUUCGGAUCGUAAACCUCUGUCCUUGGUGAAGAGUGAGAGACGGUAGCCAAGGAGGAAGCCCCGGCUAACUACGUGCCAGCCGCCGC